rnacentral:rRNA from 1 species
UACGGAGGGAGCUAGCGUUGUUCGGAAUUACUGGGCGUAAAGCGUACGUAGGCGGUUAUUCAAGUCAGAGGUGAAAGCCCGGGGCUCAACCCCGGAACGGCCUUUGAAACUAGGUAGCUAGAAUCUUGGAGAGGUCAGUGGAAUUCCGAGUGUAGAGGUGAAAUUCGUAGAUAUUCGGAAGAACACCAGUGGCGAAGGCGACUGACUGGACAAGUAUUGACGCUGAGGUACGAAAGCGUGGGGAGCAAAC